AGAGUUUGAUCCUGGCUCAGAUUGAACGCUGGCGGCAUGCCUUAAACAUGCAAGUCGAACGGCAGCGCGGGGCAACCUGGCGGCGAGUGGCGAACGGGUGAGUAAUAUAUCGGAACGUACCCUAGAGUGGGGGAUAACGUAGCGAAAGUUACGCUAAUACCGCAUACGAUCUAAGGAUGAAAGUGGGGGAUCGCAAGACCUCAUGCUCAUGGAGCGGCCGAUAUCUGAUUAGCUAGUUGGUAGGGUAAAAGCCUACCAAGGCAUCGAUCAGUAGCUGGUCUGAGAGGACGACCAGCCACACUGGGACUGAGACACGGCCCAGACUCCUACGGGAGGCAGCAGUGGGGAAUUUUGGACAAUGGGCGAAAGCCUGAUCCAGCAAUGCCGCGUGUGUGAAGAAGGCCUUCGGGUUGUAAAGCACUUUUGGCGGGAACGAAACGGUACUCUCUAAUACAGGGGACUAAUGACGGUACCCGCAGAAUAAGCACCGGCUAACUACGUGCCAGCAGCCGCGGUAAUACGUAGGGUGCAAGCGUUAAUCGGAAUUACUGGGCGUAAAGCGUGCGCAGGCGGUUAUGUAAGACAGAUGUGAAAUGCCCGGGCUCAACCUGGGAACUGCAUUUGUGACUGCAUGGCUAGAAUCUGGCAGAGGGGGGUAGAAUUCCACGUGUAGCAGUGAAAUGCGUAGAUAUGUGGAGGAACACCGAUGGCGAAGGCAGCCCCCUGGGCUAAGAUUGACGCUCAUGCACGAAAGCGUGGGGAGCAAACAGGAUUAGAUACCCUGGUAGUCCACGCCCUAAACGAUGUCUACUAGUUGUCGGGUCUUAAUUGACUUGGUAACGCAGCUAACGCGUGAAGUAGACCGCCUGGGGAGUACGGUCGCAAGAUUAAAACUCAAAGGAAUUGACGGGGACCCGCACAAGCGGUGGAUGAUGUGGAUUAAUUCGAUGCAACGCGAAAAACCUUACCUACCCUUGACAUGGCUGGAAUCCCGGAGAGAUUUGGGAGUGCUCGAAAGAGAGCCAGUACACAGGUGCUGCAUGGCUGUCGUCUGCUCGUGUCGUGAGAUGUUGGGUUAAGUCCCGCAACGAGCGCAACCCUUGUCAUUAGUUGCUACGCAAGAGCACUCUAAUGAGACUGCCGGUGACAAACCGGAGGAAGGUGGGGAUGACGUCAAGUCCUCAUGGCCCUUAUGGGUAGGGCUUCACACGUCAUACAAUGGUACAUACAGAGGGCCGCCAACCCGCGAGGGGGAGCUAAUCCCAGAAAGUGUAUCGUAGUCCGGAUUGGAGUCUGCAACUCGACUCCAUGAAGUUGGAAUCGCUAGUAAUCGCGGAUCAGCAUGUCGCGGUGAAUACGUUCCCGGGUCUUGUACACACCGCCCGUCACACCAUGGGAGCGGGUUUUACCAGAAGUAGGUAGCUUAACCGCAAGGAGGGCGCUUACCACGGUAGGAUUCGUGACUGGGGUGAAGUCGUAACAAGGUA
rnacentral:rRNA from 1 species